rnacentral:rRNA from 1 species
UACAGAGGUCUCAAGCGUUGUUCGGAUUCAUUGGGCGUAAAGGGUGCGUAGGUGGCGAGGUUAGUCAGGUGUGAAAUCUCGGGGCUCAACCCCGAAACUGCACUUGAUACUGCCUUGCUAGAGUACUGGAGAGGAGAUUGGAAUUUACGGUGUAGCAGUGAAAUGCGCAGAUAUCGUAAGGAAGACCAGUGGCGAAGGCGAAUCUCUGGACAGUUACUGACACUGAGGCACGAAGGCCAGGGGAGCAAACGGG